GAUGAACGCUGGCGGCGUGCCUAAUACAUGCAAGUCGAGCGAACGGACGAGAAGCUUGCUUCUCUGAUGUUAGCGGCGGACGGGUGAGUAACACGUGGAUAACCUACCUAUAAGACUGGGAUAACUUCGGGAAACCGGAGCUAAUACCGGAUAAUAUUUUGAACCGCAUGGUUCAAAAGUGAAAGACGGUCUUGCUGUCACUUAUAGCUGGAUCCGCGUUGCAUUAGCUAGUUGGUAAGGUAACGGCUUACCAAGGCAACGAUGCAUAGCCGACCUGAGAGGGUGAUCGGCCACACUGGAACUGAGACACGGUCCAGACUCCUACGGGAGGCAGCAGUAGGGAAUCUUCCGCAAUGGGCGAAAGCCUGACGGAGCAACGCCGCGUGAGUGAUGAAGGUCUUCGGAUCGUAAAACUCUGUUAUUAGGGAAGAACAUAUGUGUAAGUAACUGUGCACAUCUUGACGGUACCUAAUCAGAAAGCCACGGCUAACUACGUG
rnacentral:rRNA from 1 species